AUGGCCUGGGCUCUGCUCUUCCUCACCCUCCUCGCUGAGGGCACAGGGUCCUGGGCCCAGUCUGCCCUGACUCAGCCUGCGUCAGUGUCCGGGACUCUGGGACAGUCGAUCACCAUCUCCUGUGCUGGAAGCAGCAGCAACAUUGGGAGUUCUAACUAUGUCUCCUGGUUCCAACAGUACCUGGGAACAGCCCCCAAACUCCUGAUUUAUAGUGUGAAUACUCAGGCCUCAGGGAUCCCUGCUCGAGUCUCUGGCUCCACGUCUGGGAACACGGCCUCCCUGACCAUCUCUGGGCUCCAGGCUGAGGAUGAGGCUGAUGAUCACUGUAGCUCAUCUGCUGGCAACCACAAGGGCCUGUUUUUUCACUUAUAUUUGCUCUUUCUCUUGGAAACUUUCUCUCCUUCUACAUGUGUCCUGAGUUCCUCUGUGGAUAGUUAA